CAAAAAAUAGUUUAACUAGAAUACUA
rnacentral:tRNA from 1 species